rnacentral:rRNA from 1 species
CGACUUGGAGGUUGUGCCCUUGAGGCGUGGCUUCCGGAGCUAACGCGUUAAGUCGACCGCCUGGGGAGUACGGCCGCAAGGUUAAAACUCAAAUGAAUUGACGGGGGCCCGCACAAGCGGUGGAGCAUGUGGUUUAAUUCGAUGCAACGCGAAGAACCUUACCUACUCUUGGCAUCCAGAGAACUUAGCAGAGAUGCUUUGGUGCCUUCGGGAACUCUGAGACAGGUGCUGCAUGGCUGUCGUCAGCUCGUGUUGUGAAAUGUUGGGUUAAGUCCCGCAACGGGCGCAACCCUUAUCCUUUGUUGCCAGCGGUUAGGCCGGGAACUCAAAGGAGACUGCCAGUGAUAAACUGGAGGAAGGUGGGGAUGACGUCAAGUCAUCAUGGCCCUUACGAGUAGGGCUACACACGUGCUACAAUGGCGCAUACAAAGAGAAGCGACCUCGCGAGAGCAAGCGGACCUCAUAAAGUGCGUCGUAGUCCGGAUUGGAGUCUGCAACUCGACUCCAUGAAGUCGGAAUCGCUAGUAAUCGUAGAUCAGAAUGCUACGGUGAAUACGUUCCCGGGCCUUGUACACACCGCCCGUCACACCAUGGGAGUGGGUUGCAAAAGAAGUAGGUAGCUUAACCUUCGGGAGGGCGCUUACCACUUUGUGAUUCAUGACUGGGGUGAAGUCGUAACAAGGUAAC